rnacentral:misc_RNA from 1 species
AACGCACAUUGCGCCCUCUGGUAUUCCGGGGGGCAUGCCUGUUCGAGCGUCAUUACAACCCUCAAGCUCUGCUUGGUAUUGAGCAAUGCCUGCUGAAGGCAGGCUUUAAAAUCAGUGGCGAUGCCAUUCAGCUUCAAGCGUAGUAAAUUUUUCUCGCUACGGAGUUUAAAUGCGUAACUGCCAGCAAUCUCAAUUUUAACAGGUUGACCUCGGAUCAGGUAGGGAUACCCGCUGAACUUAA